rnacentral:misc_RNA from 1 species
AACGCACAUUGCGCCCCUUGGUAUUCCAUGGGGCAUGCCUGUUCGAGCGUCAUAUAUACCCUCAAGCUCUGCUUGGUGUUGGGCGUUGUCUCCACGACUCGCCUCAAAACAAUUUACAAUGGCAGUGGCAUAUGGUGCAGCACAUGUACCUGCCCCGUCCGCUAAAACCUUUUAUUUGACCUCGGAUCAGGUAGGGAUACCCGCUGAACUUAA